UACGGGGGGGGCAAGCGUUGUUCGGAAUUACUGGGCGUAAAGGGCUCGUAGGCGGAUUGUUAAGUCAGGGGUGAAAUCCCGAGGCUCAACCUCGGAACUGCCUUUGAUACUGGCUGUCUUGAGUCCGGGAGAGGUGAGUGGAACUGCGAGUGUAGAGGUGAAAUUCGUAGAUAUUCGCAAGAACACCAGUGGCGAAGGCGGCUCACUGGCCCGAUACUGACGCUGAGGCACGAAAGCGUGGGGAGCAAACAGGG
rnacentral:rRNA from 1 species